AGACGCACUCGUGUCAGCCGCCGCGGUGAUACGAAGGGGGCUAGCGUUGCUCGGAAUUACUGGGCGUAAAGGGAGCGUAGGCGGACAUUUAAGUCAGGGGUGAAAUCCCAGAGCUCAACUCUGGAACUGCCUUUGAUACUGGGUGUCUUGAGUGUGAGAGAGGUAUGUGGAACUCCGAGUGUAGAGGUGAAAUUCGUAGAUAUUCGGAAGAACACCAGUGGCGAAGGCGACAUACUGGCUCAUUACUGACGCUGAGGCUCGAAAGCGUGGGGAGCAAACAGGAUUAGAUACCCUGGUAGUCCACGCCGUAAACGAUGAUUGCUAGUUGUCGGGAAGCUUGCUUUUCGGUGACGCAGCUAACGCAUUAAGCAAUCCGCCUGGGGAGUACGGUCGCAAGAUUAAAACUCAAAUGAAUUGACGGG
rnacentral:rRNA from 1 species